rnacentral:lncRNA from 1 species
UGAGGUUCAGACAGGCUAAGUCCCUACUGCAGGCUGCGGAAUCUAAAAAGGUCAUGAACUCUGAGAGUUUGAGAUGAGCCUCUAAAAGCUGUAUCAAUAGCACCUUGCACUGUUGAAGCAGAUAGUGUCUUGCAAUGUCGCCCAGGCUGGAGUGCAGUGGUGCCCCUCCUGUUGUGAAUGGACAGAGUCCUGAGCAAGGAAACCUAGAAGGGAGAGAGGAAUACCAUGGAAUUGAGUCCUGUCUGGUAGCACUGACAGACACAGUGGCCAGCCACCCUCAUGCCACCCUGUCCUGCCAUGGGAAGGAACAGCAGCUCUAGAGUUCCUAUGGGAACUCUCUUUCCUUCUCACUGAACUCUAGCUUCAUCAAUAACUCAGUGCCUCUGGCCAAGUUUUUAGCCUCUGGGACAACAUCCACUAUAUCCAUAUGAGGCACUCAUGUAACACGGUGAUUAAGAGUACAGAUGCUGAAGCCAGCAGCCUAAGUCUGAAUCCUGACUGCCAAUUAUUAAUAUAAGUUGUGGAACCAUGGUCAAGUUACUCAACCUCUUUAUGCCUCUGUCUCCUGGU